rnacentral:rRNA from 1 species
AACGAACGCUGGCGGCAUGCCUAACACAUGCAAGUCGAACGAGACCUUCGGGUCUAGUGGCGCACGGGUGCGUAACGCGUGGGAACCUGCCCUUAGGUUCGGAAUAACUCCCCGAAAGGGGUGCUAAUACCGGAUAAUUUCUUCGGACCAAAGAUUUAUCGCCUUUGGAUGGGCCCGCGUUGGAUUAGCUAGUUGGUAGGGUAAAAGCCUACCACGGCGACGCUCCAUAGCUGGGCAGAGAGGAAGAUCAGCCACACUGGGACUGAGACACGGCCCAGACUCCUACGGGAGGCAGCAGUGGGGAAUAUUGGACAAUGGGCGAAAGCCUGAUCCAGCUAGGCCGCGUGAGUGAUGAAGGCCUUAGGGUUGUAAAGCUCUUUUACCCGGGAUGAUAAUGACAGUACCGGGAGAAUAAGCACCGGCUAACUCCGUG